CUUGACUACCUAACACUGUUGCUUCGGCGGGGAGCCCUCUCGGGGGCGAGCCGCCGGGGACUACUGAACUUCAUGCCUGAGAGUGAUGCAGUCUGAGUCUGAAUAUAAAAUCAGUCAAAACUUUCAACAAUGGAUCUCUUGGUUCCGGCAUCGAUGAAGAACGCAGCGAACUGCGAUAAGUAAUGUGAAUUGCAGAAUUCAGUGAAUCAUCGAGUCUUUGAACGCACAUUGCGCCCCCUGGCAUUCCGGGGGGCAUGCCUGUCCGAGCGUCAUUGCUGCCCAUCAAGCCCGGCUUGUGUGUUGGGUCGUCGUCCCCCCCGGGGGACGGGCCCGAAAGGCAGCGGCGGCACCGUGUCCGGUCCUCGAGCGUAUGGGGCUUUGUCACCCGCUCGAUUAGGGCCGGCCGGGCGCCAGCCGACGUCUCCAACCAUUUUUUUCAGGUUGACCUCGGAUCAGGUAGGGAUACCCGCUGAACUUAAGCAUAUCAAUAAGCGGAGGAAAAGAAACCAACCGGGAUUGCCCCAGUAACGGCGAGUGAAGCGGCAAGAGCUCAAUUUGAA
rnacentral:misc_RNA from 1 species